rnacentral:rRNA from 1 species
GAUGAACGCUGGCGGCGUGCCUAAUACAUGCAAGUCGAGCGGACCAAAGAGAGCUUGCUCUCUGAGGUUAGCGGCGGACGGGUGAGUAACACGUGGGUAACCUGCCUGUAAGACGGGGAUAACUUCGGGAAACCGAAGCUAAUACCGGAUGAUAAAGAGAAACGCCCGUUUCUUUUUUGAAAGUCGGCCUUGUGCUGACGCUUACAGAUGGGCCCGCGGCGCAUUAGCUAGUUGGUGAGGUAACGGCUCACCAAGGCGACGAUGCGUAGCCGACCUGAGAGGGUGAGCGGCCACACUGGGACUGAGACACGGCCCAGACUCCUACGGGAGGCAGCAGUAGGGAGUCUUCGGCAAUGGACGAAAGUCUGACCGAGCAACGCCGCGUGAGCGAUGAGGGCCUUCGGGUCGUAAAGCUCUGUUGUCAGAGAAGAACAAGUACCGGAGUAACUGCCGGUACCUUGACGGUACCUGACCAGAAAGCCACGGCUAACUACGUGCCAGCCGCCGCGGUAA